AUUUAUUCUCAGGGCGGGGCGAAAUUCCCCACCGGCGGUAUGCCUACUAGGUGAGCCCGCGAGCGCUCGAUUCGUCGAGGUCAGCAGAUCUGGUGAGAAGCCAGAGCCGACGGUUAUAGUCCGGAUGAGAGAGAAUGAAA
rnacentral:ncRNA from 2 species